rnacentral:pre_miRNA from 1 species
UCAGCUGUCAUGAUGCCUUCUUGAGUGACAAACAAAGAAGGUGCAAUGUCUGCUGGCA